CUCACCCUCUUUAACUUUAAUCGCAGAAUUCAUUGAAGUCGCCUUUCAAUGCUGGAAUAAUAAACUCAAAGUAAAAAGUUUGCGUUAUUAAGUUAUUUCUUUGCAAUAUUUGGUCAUUAUUUUGAGAAGGUUGCUAAGCAUAGUGACCUUCACAGGAUCUUUUUCUUUUAUCACAUUGCCUGUAAUGGGCUUCCAUUGUAACCUCUGGGAAUAAUGGGAAUGUCUAAGAUCAAGUGUAGACGUUUAUUGUGAAGGUCAAAGCUGAAAUUCCGGUGUCUUCCUCCUCUCUGGCGGUAACUUGACGCGCCAUCUUGUCCGCUCGCCUCGCCCGAGCACCGGGAGGAACGCACUCCUGCUCCCGACUCUCCGCCGCAAGUUUGGGCGUUUUCCCUCCCGGAGCUCCCGCUCAUCACAACUAACGGACGUUUCCCCGGAACAACACGGUAACGGUUUCCGUGUGGGCGCUUCGUCACAUUUAUUUUUCUUCUUCUGCUCGGGAGGUCAACAAAACCGGAGCUGACUUUAAACGGACCGGGAAACUCCGCCGUCAGUGUCCAUGCCGCUCCUCGCGCAGGUUAUAUCCAAAGAGUCUCUCCUGCUGAGGGAGGCGGUUUGAGAAACAGAUGUUCCUGCACGGCCUCGUGGGAACAGGAAGUGUGCUGUCAGCAGAUUAACGGUAAACAGUCGGUGCUCCGUGUUGAACAAACUUUAUUUACAUUCUGACAAACUGCAGAAUCUGUGUUUCAGCAGAAACAGUUUACAUCCCAGGGA
rnacentral:lncRNA from 1 species